CACGCNGUAAACGAUGAAUGCUAGCUGUUAGCGAUAUACUGUUAGCGGCACAGAGAAAUCGUUAAGCAUUCCACCUGGGGAGUACGCCGGCANCGGUGAAACUCAAAGGAAUUGACGGGGGCCCGCACAAGCGGAGGAACAUGUGGUUUAAUUCGAUGAUACGCGAGGAACCUUACCUGGGCUUAAAUUGCAGUGGAAUAACGUGGAAACAUGUUAGCCUUCGGGCCGCUGUGAAGGUGCUGCAUGGUUGUCGUCAGCUCGUGCCGUGAGGUGUCGGCUUAAGUGCCAUAACGAGCGCAACCCUCAUCGAUAGUUACUAACAGGUUAAGCUGAGGACUCUAUCGAGACUGCCGACGUAAGUCGUGAGGAAGGUGGGGAUGACGUCAAAUCAGCACGGCCCUUACGUCCAGGGCUACACACGUGUUACAAUGGGGGGUACAAAGGGCAGCUACCUGGCGACAGGAUGCUAAUCUCAAAAACCUCUCUCAGUUCGGAUUGGAGUCUGCAACCCGACUCCAUGAAGCUGGAUUCGCUAGUAAUCGCGCAUCAGCCACGGCGCGGUGAAUACGUUCCCGGGCCUUGUACACACCGCCCGUCAAGCCAUGGGAGCCGGGGGGACCUGAAGUAUGCAACCGUAAGGAGCGUCCUAGGGUAAAACUGGUGACUGGGGCU
rnacentral:rRNA from 1 species